rnacentral:tRNA from 1 species
GCAGUCGUGGCCGAGUGGUUAAGGCGAUAGACUAGAAAUCUAUUGGGAUAUUCCCACAGGUUCGAAUCCUGUCGACUGCG